rnacentral:misc_RNA from 1 species
CUGCUCUUCCUGGAGCUGGUCAGGGCACAUCAGAGGAUGAGGUUGACAAGAAUCAGCGAUACCAAUCAACAUUACAGUUUGCAGCAAGCCUGCUUCUCCAGAUACAGCAGCAAACAGGCAAUCCAGCAGUGCGAGGGUCUGGAAAUCAACAAUGAGAUUCCUUUGAUAUAGGUAUGCACUCUUACUAUGAUUAAUUGAUUCUUUAUUUUUUUGGAUUGUCAAGUCCUUUUAGAGGACAAUUAUAUUUCUGCUAGAAGUGCUUUAGUUUUCCUUGUCUGUUUGUUUGUCUGAAAUUUGAAUAUGAUGAAAUGAAUUAGAGUCUCUUUGUUUUUUGUUUGUAAUCUUAUUUCACUGUUGUAGUUCAAUGUUUUUGCUGGGAAAAUGAAGUAGUUAUGUGAUUCAUUUUGGUUGCACGGGCUUGUUUGAAUACCACUGUAAGGUAGAUCAUCAUUUGAUUCUUCUGUCUGCUUUAAUUUAGAGAACACACCAAAGAUGAUUUGCAGGAUAAUAAUUUGUAGUGGAGAUACUUGUAGAUCGUUCUUUUAUUACAAAACAUUGGAUGUUGGAAGGUAGUAGUUUCUUUAUUAUUUUGGAACUUUGAAAGUGCUAGAGUUCAUUUAAGGUGCUCAAGAAGAGUUGACAAGCUUUAGAAUUUAUCAGUGGUUUAGUUGGAGUCAUGUCUGGUAAUGCUAUGAGUGACUCAGUUAUAUGAUAUGGAAGCUAAUGUUCUGAAGGAUAACUGCUGGCAUCAGACAUACAGUUUGGCCAUUUGAAUUGUGAGCUUUGACUGCAUUUCUUUCAGCACUGUUAUUCAUAAUGUGUUUUAAGCUAAAUAGCAGCAAAUUGCUGAAUUGGAAUAUUAGCACUCUAUUUUUGCAAGAAGUGAAGGAUGUAUUUAUUCUGUGUUCCAAGCUAAGGGUAAUAUCAACUUCGUUUCCAUUUCCAUUUCUUCUCUUUUCUUUCUAUCCCUACCUAGAGGAAAGAAUAAUAGUCUCUUUUCUUACUUUCUCUCCUUCGGUUUUAAUUCCCUUCACCUCCAUUCUCACUUUAUUCUGUCACUAUAUGGAGUAGUGACAUGAUGCUUUUGUCCAUCGACUCCAUCCAUGUAUGACAUAGAUGGGUCAUUUGGGUCUGUCUGGGACUCAAAAUUGUGGCCUCACAACCCUAGAAGCCACUCCAGUUUCAGUAACACUGAGCUUUAACUCAUUAGUAUAUAGAUAAUUAUGUUUAUGUAGACUUUUAGGAUAAUAAUAUUUUUAUGUAGUUACUUUAAGAAAGUUGCACAAUACACAUGAAUGGCCAGCCAUAGAUUUAUAUAUAUCAUAUCAUAUCAAUUCACUGAAGCAUAAACAACGUGUCCUGAUAUUUGGAUCUCUGUGAAUGACAAAACUGGAAGUCUUAUGGAAUUAACUUCAUAAGCAACCCGUUAAUGCUCAAGGUAAGGUGGAAUAUUUGAUGUUUCAAGAUGAUAUCUGUCACAUAUGAUAAAAACAUCCUUUGGCAAAUUCAUAAAUAGUGAUAAUAAGCUGUUGGUGGUUCUUCUGCUUAAGUAUGCUCUGGAAAUGAUGCUACAGAAAACAACAGGUUUUGAUGGUGGUUGUUAGGGGUUUGUUUUGUGAUCACAUUUUCUAAAUAGCUUUGUAUCGAUGUUGAUAAGAUUCAGCGAUAAUCUGUUGGGAGGAAGAUAUGCUAAAUGAUUUUUUGGGGCAGCUGGUUUAAUGGGUUUGAUGGGUUUGAUUUGAAGCUAAUCAACUUUGGGAGGUUUUCCAUUGAAGGUCCUGAAGGAUAUCAUUCAUUUUAAGCAAAGCAGUAUUAGUUCACCUGAUUGGGUGUUCCUCUAGCUGGAUAGAACUUAAGUUGUGCUUUCUUGCUUCUGUUGUUGGGUGAUAUGCUUGCAUGAUUUUGGUGCUGUGCAUGUGUUGGUGAUUAAAGCUUAACAUUUUCAAUGUUGGUAUUCCUAAGAUUCCUGCGUUUCUUUGAGUGUGCAGCUUUGAUUCUUAGUCUCCAUUUAUAUUUCAUCUUUGCUGCUAACAAGCUCUACUUUCACUUGUGACUCGAGUGUUGCAUAUGUUUGUGAAUAUCAUUCAUGAAUCAUCUGUUUAUAUGACAUUGCUGCUUCUAAAUGCAUGCUUCUUUUGACACACUUCAUGCAGUAGCUUAGUUGGUUAAAUAUCACUGCUUCCAAUUCUUCCAAUCUUUUUUUCCUUAUAUUAGGCUCUGUGAUUACCAGUUAUUGAAGUUUAGGUUGGAAAUUUUUAUUAAUUGUAACUGUGAGUUGUAAUUCUACUUUAUAAGAGUAUGUUAAAUAAAAUUUGAAAUACUAUAUGGAGAUUGUCUAAGCACUAUAUGAGUGUGGCCAAAAACUUUUUAACUAGAGUUUUGCUUAAAUUAAUC